UUAAACCAAUUUAACAGAG
rnacentral:snRNA from 1 species